GCGGUAAUUCCAGCUCCAAUAGCGUAUAUUAAAGUUGUUGCAGUUAAAAAGCUCGUAGUUGAAUUUCGGGGUUAGUAGGUUGGUCAUGCCUCUGGUAUGUACUGAUCUUACUGAUUCCUCCUUCCUGAUGAACCGUAAUGCCAUUAAUUUGGUGUUGCGGGGAAACUGGACUGUUACUUUGAAAAAAUUAGAGUGUUUAAAGCAAGCUAACGCUUGAAUACAUUAGCAUGGAAUAAUGAAAUAGGACGUUCGAUCCUAUUUUGUUGGUUUCUAGGAUUGACGUAAUGAUUAAUAGGGAUAGUUGGGGGCAUUAGUAUUCAAUUGUCAGAGGUGAAAUUCUUGGAUUUAUUGAAGACUAACUACUGCGAAAGCAUUUGCCAAGGAUGUUUUCAUUAAUCAAGAACGAAAGUUAGGGGAUCGAAGACGAUCAGAUACCGUCGUAGUCUUAACCAUAAACUAUGCCGACUAGGGAUCGGAUGAUGUUAAUUUUU
rnacentral:rRNA from 1 species